AGCCAGACUCCUACGGGAGGCAGCAGUGGGGGAUAUUGCACAAUGGGGGGAACCCUGAUGCAGCGACGCCGCGUGGGUGAAGGAGCGUUUCGGCGCGUAAAGCCCUAUCGGCAGGGAAGAAGGAGGACGGUACCUGACUAAGAAGCCCCGGCUAACUACGUGCCAGCAGCCGCGGGAAUACGUAGGGGGCAAGCGUUAUCCGGAUUUACUGGGUGUAAAGGGGGCGCAGACGGCGAUGCAAGCCAGGAGUGAAAGGCCGGGGCCCAACCCCGGGACUGCUCUUGGAACUGCGUGGCUGGAGUGCAGGAGGGGCAGGCGGAAUUCCUGGUGUAGCGGUGAAAUGCGUAGAUAUCAGGAGGAACACCGGUGGCGAAGGCGGCCUGCUGGACUGCAACUGACGGUGAGGCCCGAAAGCGUGGGGAGCAAACAGGAUUAGAUACCCGUGUAUAA
rnacentral:rRNA from 1 species